UACGGAGGGAGCUAGCGUUGUUCGGAAUUACUGGGCGUAAAGCGCACGUAGGCGGCUUUGUAAGUUAGAGGUGAAAGCCCGGGGCUCAACUCCGGAACUGCCUUUAAGACUGCAUCGCUUGAAUCCAGGAGAGGUGAGUGGAAUUCCGAGUGUAGAGGUGAAAUGCGCAGAUAUCAGGAGGAACACCAAUGGCGAAGGCAGCUCGCUGGAACGGUACUGACGCUGAGGCGCGAAAGCGUGGGGAGCAAACAGG
rnacentral:rRNA from 1 species